rnacentral:ncRNA from 12 species
AAAUCGAUCCCGAAGGGUUGCCGGAUGGUAGCCAAUCUCGAAAGAGAUAGGGGUCGAUUCCGCU